rnacentral:sRNA from 2 species
UAAUAAAAUUGUUAGGUGAGGCUCCUAUGUACAGGAUAUACGCUACUGCCCAAAAACAUCGAGAGAUGCCAAUGGGUCAACAGAUACUGCCGAAAGUUAAGGCUUUAUUUAAUGUAGCUGAGUUUAACUCAAAGCCACAUAGUGCUAAAGCUCAACAAAAAGUAAUAUAU